CUACGGGUUGCUGCAGUGAGGAAUAUUGGACAAUGGUCGAAAGACUGAUCCAGCCAUGCCGCGUGCAGGAUGACUGCCCUAUGGGUUGUAAACUGCUUUUAUACGGGAAGAAAAACACCUACGUGUAGGUGACUGACGGUACCGUAAGAAUAAGGACCGGCUAACUCCGUGCCAGCAGCCGCGGUAAUACGGAGGGUCCAAGCGUUAUCCGGAAUCAUUGGGUUUAAAGGGUCCGUAGGCGGGCUAUUAAGUCAGAGGUGAAAGUUUGCAGCUCAACUGUAAAAUUGCCUUUGAUACUGAUAGUCUUGAAUUGUAGUGAAGUGGUUAGAAUAUGUGGUGUAGCGGUGAAAUGCAUAGAUAUCACAUAGAAUACCGAUUGCGAAGGCAGAUCACUAACUAUAUAUUGACGCUGAGGGACGAAAGCGUGGGGAGCGAACGGGAUUAGAUACCCCCGUAGUC
rnacentral:rRNA from 1 species